CGAAAACCUUACCUACCCUUGACAUGUCUGGAACCUUGGUGAGAGCCGAGGGUGCCUUCGGGAGCCAGAACACAGGUGCUGCAUGGCUGUCGUCAGCUCGUGUCGUGAGAUGUUGGGUUAAGUCCCGCAACGAGCGCAACCCUUGUCACUAGUUGCCAUCAUUUGGUUGGGCACUCUAGUGAGACUGCCGGUGACAAACCGGAGGAAGGUGGGGAUGACGUCAAGUCCUCAUGGCCCUUAUAGGUGGGGCUACACACGUCAUACAAUGGCCGGUACAGAGGGUAGCCAACCCGCGAGGGGGAGCCAAUCCCACAAAGCCGGUCGUAGUCCGGAUCGCAGUCUGCAACUCGACUGCGUGAAGUCGGAAUCGCUAGUAAUCGCGGAUCAGCAUGUCGCGGUGAAUACGUUCCCGGGUCUU
rnacentral:rRNA from 1 species